rnacentral:rRNA from 1 species
GCUGGCGGCGUGCCUAACACAUGCAAGUCGAGCGAGAAAGUGGAGCAAUCCAUGAGUAAAGCGGCGCACGGGUGAGUAACACGUGACUAACCUACCCUCGAGUGGGGAAUAACUUCGGGAAACCGAGGCUAAUACCGCAUAAUACCCACGGGUCAAAGGAGAAAUCCGCUUGGGGAGGGGGUCGCGGCCGAUUAGUUAGUUGGCGGGGUAAUGGCCCACCAAGACGAUGAUCGGUAUCCGGCCUGAGAGGGCGCACGGACACACUGGAACUGAAACACGGUCCAGACUCCUACGGGAGGCAGCAGUGGGGAAUUUUGCGCAAUGGGGGAAACCCUGACGCAGCAACGCCGCGUGGAGGAUGAAGUCCUUCGGGACGUAAACUCCUUUCGAUCGGGACGAUUAUGACGGUACCGGAAGAAGAAGCCCCGGCUAACUUCGUGCCAGCAGCCGCGGUAAUACGAGGGGGGCGAGCGUUGUUCGGAAUUAUUGGGCGUAAAGGGUGCGUANGCGGUUUGGUAAGUCUGAUGUGAAAUCUAUGGGCUC